UUUUUCUUUUCUGUUUUUGUUGCCAUCUUCCUUUUUUAGAGUAUAU
rnacentral:sRNA from 1 species